rnacentral:rRNA from 1 species
CCGUUGCCGGCGACCGGCGCACGGGUGAGUAACACGUACUGCAACCUGGCCCGUGGCAGGGGAUAAGCGGGGAAACCCGUCCUAAUACCGCGUAACGCGGCCUAGGGACAUCCCAAGGGCCGCCAAAGGGAGCAAUCCCGGCCACGGAUGGGCAUGCGGCGCAUUAGCUAGUCGGCGGGGUAACGGCCCACCGAGGCGACGAUGCGUAGGGGUUCUGAGAGGAAGGCCCCCCACACUGGUACUGAGACACGGACCAGACUCCUACGGGAGGCAGCAG